UACAGAGGUCCCAAGCGUUGUUCGGAUUCACUGGGCGUAAAGGGCGCAUAGGCGGGCCGCCAAGUUCGAGGUGAAAUCCUCCGGCUCAACCGGAGAACUGCCUCGAAUACUGGAGGCCUCGAGGCGGGUAGGGGCACGCGGAACUGUGGGUGGAGCGGUGAAAUGCGUUGAUAUCCACAGGAACUCCGGUGGCGAAGGCGGCGUGCUGGACCCGAUCUGACGCUGAGGCGCGAAAGCCAGGGGAGCAAACGGG
rnacentral:rRNA from 1 species